rnacentral:lncRNA from 10 species
GGAUUUUAGCAGUCCCUUCAUUAAGCCUGGAGAACAAAGGCGGGCGGGUGAGGGUCUCCGAAUGUCCAAACACCCUGUCACCCGGAGUGUGAGGCUGCGGCUGCCCCGGGUCUCUGCGCCAGAACAUUCUGAGAAAUCGCUGGUUCGUACUCCAACCCAGACAGGCCAAUGUGUCCAUGCCACAUCACUGCAGGGCAAUGACACAACUGUCAGGGGCCCUGGAUACAGCAUUCCUUGCCCUGGGGUGGGGUAGGGGGAGUAGGGAGCUUCCGAGACCCUGAAAGCAGGGCUUCCAGGCUUCGGCACCCUGUCCCUCCUUCUGGGCUGUUCCUUCAGCAUCUGCUUCAGUGUCCACCCAUGCCUGGCCUUUCCUGACCACUUCUACAUCCCCAUGUGGCGCUUCAGCCUGCAGCAGGCACAGGUGUUAAAAAUCCCGUCCACCUGACUCCACCUCUCCAGCGGGGAGGUGCCAGAGAAGAGUGGAGGUGUCUGCUCAGGGGCACAGGGUGGGAGCUGGCUCUGGGGCCUUUCUCUGUGGGUCAGGAUGAGGAGCAGGGCUGGCCUGGGGCUCUCAGGACACCUGAGGGCCAUUUGCACAAUUGUCUUUACAGGAAGCUUCAGGGAGGAAGGCUGCGGGCUGGAGAGAACCUGAGGCUGAGUUUCUUCCAUUUCAUCCAGCGCAUUCACCAAAGCACCCUGUGUGCCGAGGGCAGCGGGGGCCGUACCCUCCCGGAGCUCACGAAUGGGUGAGGGAGAAGCCCCUAGGCGGAGAAACUUACAAUCCCAUGUGGACAUGUGAACUCAGUGAGAGGAGGUGCUGCGGUGAGGGCCACUUCUUGGAGAUUUGGGAAAAGGAGCAGGAUGUUUCUGGCAGUGAGGCUGGGAAGGGCAUCCUUCAUAGCAGAGGGAAGCUGUGAGCAGAGCAGAGGCUGAGGACGACUCCACCCAAGGGGACCGGUGGGGCAGGGGCUGUGCCAGGGCUUGACCCGGAGCUCUGGGCUGUGUCCAGUUCCCUUCAAAUGAGAAAGAAGGCGCCAGAGGUGCAGGGGACAGGGGAUGCCUGCCAGCCAGGCCCCAUCUCCUCUGCUGUUUAGGGACUCGGGUUGGAAUUUCCACGACACUAUUUGGGGGAGGAUGAGGGAGCUGGUGGGAAAUGGGUUUGGGGGCGCGAGGCUUGAUAUCAUUUCUUCCGAUAAAGAGGCAUUGGCUCAGCUUUUCUGUCUUCUGCUUAAUCACUUUCAGAGGCUCAUUAGACUUAGAGGAAAUACACUUGCAAACUCAAACCACAUGCCACCCUCAGAGUACAUACUCCCAUCCCCAAAGCACACGUACCUCAGAGAAAGGAUCAUUGGUUCCCAAGAACAGGAGCCAUUCCGUGGAAGGGGUCACCUGCCUGGAGACUGCAGUGCUCCGAGGCCGUAGAGCAAGGUGGGUGGAAGCGGGUUUGAGAGUUUCAGGGACGGGCUGACUCUCACGGGGCCCUUACCACGUGCCUGCUGCUGUUCUCAUUGCAUUGCACGUAUUAACUCACUUAAGUCCCACCUGAAGGUGGCCACCAUCAUUGUUCCCAAAGAGCAG